rnacentral:lncRNA from 1 species
AAAAACCAAAAAAACCUCUGAAAAGCUCUCCCCUCCCCUGCUUGUCCGGCCACCGGCCGAGCAUCGGUCACCACGCCGGCCGCUGAUCGCCGGUGCCGGCACCGCCGUGUGCGGUGGCCAGAAAAGGGGAAAAUCUCCGAUUUGGCCCUCUCGAUCCUUCCAAGCCCAGAUCUGGGUUCAAACUUUCCAAAAAACCAAUCAAAAAUGCAAAGUGAUCCCGAAACCCCUUCGAUUUUCGGCCACCAAUCCUCGGGGGUGGCUCCCUCAACCGACCAUGGCGAUUCUGACUCGAAGGUAGUUUCUUUUCCCUUCUUUUAUCUUAUAUUAUUCGCUUAUAUAAAGUAAAAAAUAAAUAUGACAAUAUAAAAAACCUAUUGUGAAUGUCAACCUUUUCGAUUGAUUUGCUCUCUAUCUUGAAUUCUGUUGAAAGUAAUUGCUUUUCUUUUAUUGAUUUCUCCCCCAAAAAUUUUCCUUUUUUACAGUAAAUCAAUGGCCUUUUAUAGCCAUUUAAAAAAUAAAACAAUAAAGAAACGAAUCUCCUGUAUUUGAUUCGAAAUCUUUGAUUUCAUUUCCUUUUUGGUUGUUUCUUACAGGUGAAGGCGCGGAGAUUCAGGCUUGGCUGUGACACAAACAGGCUAGGUGGCUGCGGCACGGAUGAUUAGAAACCCUAGGGUUUCUGACGUUUUUUGGGCCACCGCAAUUUGGGCCUAUUUUUUGUUGGGCCACUAUUUUAUCUUAUUAAUUGGGCCACUACAAUUAGGGUCUUUUAGACCCGGGUAAAAUUUGACAUGUACACACCCAAUAUGAUCAUAUUUUAUCUGAAGAUAACCAUUAUGUCUUCCUUCAUGAAAAAUUCAAUUACUAAUAAAUAGUAUUUGAACCAUUCAUCCCAAACAAAUGACACAUGGACACGUUACUUUUCC